UGCGCCAAGCGCUAGGGACAGGGCGUGUUCCUGGUUCGGGUUUCAAGUUUUGCCCUGAGCGAGCGCAUCUUUUGCCACCCGAGUGUGUAUCGCGGAAGCCUGUGGUCCCAACCUUCCCAUCCUGUUUGGUGCUACCCUUCGCGACCAUGUCUAAGUCUUUGAAAAAGUUGGUGGAGGAGAGCCGGGAGAAGAACCAGCCGGAAGUGGACAUGAGUGACCGAGGGAUCUCCAACAUGCUGGAUGUCAACGGCUUGUUCUCUUUAGCCCAUAUCACUCAACUGGUGCUCAGUCACAACAAACUAACAACUGUGCCACCCAACAUAGCAGAACUGAAGAACUUGGAAGUGCUCAACUUUUUUAAUAACCAGAUUGAGGAGCUGCCCACACAGAUCAGCAGCCUUCAAAAACUCAAACACCUGAACCUUGGCAUGAAUAGGCUGAACACUUUGCCUCGAGGAUUUGGCUCUCUACCAGCUCUUGAGGUCCUUGACUUGACUUACAACAACUUGAAUGAAAAUUCUCUUCCGGGAAAUUUCUUCUACCUUACCACCCUGCGCGCACUCUAUCUAAGUGACAACGAUUUUGAAAUCCUGCCGCCAGAUAUUGGGAAGCUCACAAAGUUGCAGAUACUCAGCCUUAGGGAUAACGACCUCAUCUCACUGCCUAAGGAAAUUGGGGAGCUUACUCAGCUUAAGGAGCUCCACAUUCAGGGGAACCGCCUGACCGUUCUGCCCCCAGAACUAGGAAACUUGGACUUAACUGGUCAGAAGCAGGUAUUCAAAGCGGAGAACAAUCCCUGGGUUACCCCGAUUGCUGACCAGUUCCAGCUUGGCGUGUCCCACGUCUUUGAAUACAUCCGUUCUGAGACAUACAAGUAACUCAGCAGUUUAUGUGCUAAGGUUCUGUCAGCAGCACCUCAGAGCUGCCGGAUAGGCCUCUACGGCAGACACAUGCAAGCAAACCCAGAACCACCAAAGAAGAAUAAUGACAAAUCGAAAAAGAUCAGCCGGAAACCCCUGACAGCCAAGAACAGAUAAGGGCUUGGCACGGACUGGGCUUUUGGCCUUUUCUCUCACAUCCCUCCUGGCUUCUCUUGCUCUGUCUUACAAAUAAAUACAAUGUGUAUAUGUCUUUUUUUUUUUCCACUUUCUUCUUUCUAGUGCUUACCACUUACCUUUUUAUUUCUUUUGGUAGGUGGUAGAUUUUUAUAAGUUUUUAAAACCAUUUCCAUUUGUUUCCUUAGAAUUGCCAAAGGCAGGAAACAAAGCAUUAAUUCAGCUGCAAAUUCCAUAGUAGGCACAGGUUUCAGUUCCUUGAAUAGACAUCACAGAGUUGCUUAUUAUCACAAGAAUAAUUAAAGUCAUGCAACCAUUUAAAUGUCACAGUUAACACUUUUCAGUCUUCUGUUUAUUCACGUAAGUCAUGAUUUUGCUUUAUUGAAAGUUUUCCUUCACUACUGAGAUAUUCUGUUAAUUUAACUUCUAAAUGAUUUUAAUAAAAUCUGAAAUUUGUA